AAUACCAUUCCUUAUCUCAAGGCGGGACAAGACUCUUUACAAGAUUCGUGUCUUAACGAGACAAGUCUCUACACUUUCAGAGUAGUUAAUGGGGUAUGCCUGACAGUUAUUGGAGCGUUGGGAUUUAUUCUGAGUUCCAGCGUGGUGGUUUUACUUUUAUCUGGUAUUGUCAAGUUGCCAGAUAGAAAGUCGAUAUUCAUAAUAAAUGUCGCCGCGAAUGAUGUGUUCGUAUCAAUAGUUGGAACGAUAAGAGGACUGGAACUGACUAAAAACUUCGUGGCUUAUCAGGAUGACGCGGGACAACCUACACAGAUCUGUCAGAUCCACGCUUUAAUAUCAUCACUUUUUAAGAACAAUCUGUCGUGGGUGCUAGUGCCCCUUACAUUAGACAGGUUUCUAGCAGUAGUGUUCGCUAAAAAGUACACUAC